rnacentral:rRNA from 1 species
AUGUUGGCUGAAUUUGACCCAAUUAUAAAAGAACAUGUUGACCGCAUCACAAAUGAUAAAAUCCGUGAUCAUUAUCUUGGCCCUUCAAUCCAGAAUGAACUAAUAAAUUUGCUCGCUGUUGCAAUCAGGUCUGAAAUCAUUAGAAAGAGAUGGCAACUUCUCAAAAAUAAUAUAACAGGAGUAACACUCAAGUCAUUGUCAGCUACUCGUUGGGAGAGUCGUGUUGAUAGUGUUAAGGCUAUAAGGAUUCAACUACCAGAAAUAAGGGAGGCUUUACUACAAGUGGCUGAAAAUGAUAAAGAUCCAUCGACAAGUAGUGAAGCUCAAUCAUUGGCAGAAAAUGAUCUUUGUGGCUUUGAAUUCUUAGUGUCAAUAAUCAUAUGGUAUGAAAUAUUAUCAGCUAUUAAUUUGAUCAGCAAAGAGUUGCAGUCAAAGGAUAUGCUUAUUGAUAUCGCAAUUGAGUCUGUAAAGGGCUUGAUUUCCUUCUUCACCAAGUACAGAGAAUCUGGCUUUUCAAAAGCAUUGGAAGAUGCAAAUUUUUUUGCAAUGGAGAUGGAUAUUGAUCCAGAGUUCCGCACCAAGCGUCAAAUCAAGAGGAAAAGGCAAUUUGGUGAGGGUGCAGAUGAUCCAUCUAUUGUUUCCCAAUCAGCAGAGGAGUCAUUUAGGGUCAAUUAUUUUCUGCAUAUUGUUGAUCAAGCUAUAGUUUCACUUAACACGAGAUUUCAACAGUAUGAAGGGUAUGAAAAAAUAUUUGGUUUCUUGUUUACUUCAGAUAGGCUGCGAUCCUUGGAUGAUAAGAGUUUGUUGGCUGCUUUUGAUAUUCUGAAUUUUUUGAAGAAGCGCUCCUUAAUCUAUCCUAAUGCUGUUAUUGCAUACAGAAUUUUGUUAACCAUUCCUGUGACGGUUGCAUCCGCAGAAAGGAGCUUUUCUAAACUCAAGUUGUUGAAAUCCUACUUGCGUUCUACUAUGUCCCAAGAAAGACUCAAUGGAUUGGCAACUAUAGCACUUGAAAAUGAUAUCUUGAAGAAGAUUAAUUAUGAAGAUUUGAUCGAAGAUUUCAUUUCAAGAAAUACUAGAAGAAUGUUGCUUUUUGGUAGAAAAUGA